rnacentral:rRNA from 1 species
GACAGAGGGUGCAAACGUUGUUCGGAAUUACUGGGCGUAAAGCGUGUGUAGGCGGUCCUCUAAGUCGGGUGGGAAAGCCCAGGGCUCAACCCUGGAAGUGCACUCGAAACUGGAAGGCUAGAGUACCGGAGAGGUUGGUGGAAUUCCCAGUGUAGAGGUGAAAUUCGUAGAUAUUGGGAGGAACACCGGUGGCGAAGGCGGCUACCUGGACAGUGAUUGACGCUGAGACGCGAAAGCAUGGGUAGCAAACAGG